rnacentral:rRNA from 1 species
GACGAACGCUGGCGGCGUGCUUAACACAUGCAAGUCGAGCGGAGCGGCGAACGGGUGAGUAACGCGUGAGUAACUGCCCCCCUCUCUGGGAUAACAGUUGGAAACGGCUGCUAAUACCGGAUAGUGGGGGAUGACUCGCGUCCUAUCAGCUGGUUGGUGGGGUAGUGGCCUACAAAGGCGACGACGGGUAGCCGGCCUGAUAGGGGCACCGGCCACAGUGGGUGGAGAUACGGCACAAACUCCUACGGGAGGCAGCGGUGGGGAAUAUUGCAGAAUGGGGGAAGCCCUGAUGCAGCAACGCCGCGUGCAGGAUGACGGCCGUCGGGUUGUAAACCGCUUUCAGCCAUGACGCGGUAGUGGCAGAAGAAGCACCGGCUAACUACGUGCCAGCCGCCGCGGUAAUAC